rnacentral:rRNA from 1 species
GCGGAUGAAGGAGCUUGCUCCUUGAUUCAGCGGCGGACGGGUGAGUAAUGCCUAGGAAUCUGCCUGGUAGUGGGGGACAACGUUUCGAAAGGAACGCUAAUACCGCAUACGUCCUACGGGAGAAAGCAGGGGACCUUCGGGCCUUGCGCUAUCAGAUGAGCCUAGGUCGGAUUAGCUAGUUGGUGAGGUAAUGUCUCACCAAGGCGACGAUCCGUAACUGGUCUGAGAGGAUGAUCAGUCACACUGGAACUGAGACACGGUCCAGACUCCUACGGGAGGCAGCAGUGGGGAAUAUUGGACAAUGGGCGAAAGCCUGAUCCAGCCAUGCCGCGUGUGUGAAGAAGGUCUUCGGAUUGUAAAGCACUUUAAGUUGUGAGAAGGGCAGUAAGUUAAUACUCUUGCUGUUUUCUGUUUACCGACAGAAUAAGCACCGGCUAACUCUGUGCCAGCAGCCGCGGUAAUACAGAGGGUGCAAGGUUAACGGAAUUACUGGGCGUAAAGCGCGCGUUCGUGGUU